GUCCACACUGUAAACGAUGCAUACUGGGUGUCCGAAAUUCGUUUCGGGUACCGUAGCUAACGCGUUAAGUAUGCCGCCUGGGGAGUACGUACGCAAGUAUGAACUCAAAGGAAUUGACGGGCCCGCACAAGCGGUGGAGCAUGUGGUUUAAUUCGAAGCAACGCGAAGAACCUUACCAGGCCUUGACAUCCAAUGAACUUUCCAGAGAUGGAUUGGUGCCUUCGGGAACAUUGAGACAGGUGCUGCAUGGCUGUCGU
rnacentral:rRNA from 1 species